rnacentral:rRNA from 1 species
UACGAAGGGUGCAAACGUUGCUCGGAAUCAUUGGGCGUAAAGCGCACGUAGGCGGCCUGUUAAGUCGGAUGUGAAAUCCCUCGGCUCAACCGAGGACGUGCAUUCGAAACUGGCAAGCUCGAGUAUGGAAGAGGGUCGCGGAAUUCCCGGUGUAGAGGUGAAAUUCGUAGAUAUCGGGAGGAACACCAGUGGCGAAGGCGGUUAGCUGGCCUGUAACUGACACUGAGGCGCGAAGGCUAGGGGAGCGAACAGG